GUAACAAGGUUUCCGUAGUGAACCUGCGG
rnacentral:rRNA from 1 species